rnacentral:rRNA from 1 species
UACGUAGGGGGCUAGCGUUGUCCGGAAUCAUUGGGCGUAAAGAGCGUGUAGGCGGCCCGGCAAGUCCGCUGUGAAAGUCAAAGGCUCAACCUUUGAAUGUCAGUGGAUACUGCCGGGCUAGAGUCCGGAAGAGGCGAGCGGAACUCCUGGUGUAGCGGUGGAAUGCGCAGAUAUCAGGAAGAACACCGGCGGCGAAGGCAGCUUGCUGGGACGUUACUGACGCUGAGGCGCGAAAGCGUGGGGAGCGAACAGG